UACCGGCGGCUGUCGACGACCUGGAGCUGGAUAUUUUGUCCUCGGGAGAAGUUGUGCGCCGAGCAGCGGCCUCCUACGCGAGGACGACAGCAGCCGACAUUGGAAACAACGGGCGUGACGUCACCACGCAGCAACACGUGUAAAUGUAAAAAGGCCGACUAAGCGUUUGACUUCUGCUGGGCCGUCUCCGCGUCUUCCCCCAUCCUCUCCGUGAUCAUCGGGGCGAAGGGUCCCACCAGCCAGUUGAGCGGCGUGUUGUUGAGCAAGUACUCCGUGACACCAUCCAGAGACUGUUGAACCUAGAAAAUAGUUGAAAACUUGAGGAGGAGAGGCGUGAGGGAGCCGGCGUCAACCAGGGAGGCCUGCAGCUCGUCGGCCGAGCGUCGGGCUCUGCUCAGCUGAUCCUGCACGGCUCCCGGCAGACCCUGAGCGCUCGACACCACGUUGGAGCUCGCCGAACGC